rnacentral:rRNA from 1 species
AUACGGAGGGUGCAAGCGUUAUCCGGAUUUAUUGGGUUUAAAGGGUGCGUAGGCGGGUCUGUAAGUCAGUGGUGAAAGCCUUCAGCUUAACUGGAGAAUUGCCAUUGAUACUGCUGACCUUGAAUUCGGUUGAAGUGGGCGGAAUGUGUGGUGUAGCGGUGAAAUGCAUAGAUAUCACACAGAACACCGAUUGCGAAGGCAGCUCACUAAGCCGACAUUGACGCUGAGGCACGAAAGCGUGGGGAGCGAACAGGAUUAGAUACCCUGGUAGUCCACGCCGUAAACGAUGAUAACUCGCUGUUGGCGAUAUACUGUCAGCGGCCUAGCGAAAGCGUUAAGUUAUCCACCUGGGGAGUACGAUCGCAAGGUUGAA